UGAAGAUGCACGAAUUAUAUAGCUACAGUGAAGAGUUGGGACAAGCACAUAGAGAAUAUAUAUAUAUAUAUGUUUUUGCUUUCUAAUUAUUAAGAAACUUAAGGAGAAAUCAAGAGUUUAAUAGGUUAAAGAGGACAUUUUAUGCUCAUUUUGAGGUGCACACUUGUAUUUUGGGGUUUCUACUGGAACACGUUUACAUGCUUUACUGUUCAUAAACAUAUUAUUUU